UAGGGAAUCUUCCACAAUGGACGAAAGUCUGAUGGAGCAACGCCGCGUGAGUGAAGAAGGUUUUCGGAUCGUAAAGCUCUGUUGUUGGUGAAGAAGGAUAGAGGCAGUAACUGGUCUUUAUUUGACGGUAAUCAACCAGAAAGUCACGGCUAACUACGUGCCAGCAGCCGCGGUAAUACGUAGGUGGCAAGCGUUGUCCGGAUUUAUUGGGCGUAAAGCGAGCGCAGGCGGAAUGAUAAGUCUGAUGUGAAAGCCCACGGCUCAACCGUGGAACUGCAUCGGAAACUGUCAUUCUUGAGUGCAGAAGAGGAGAGUGGAACUCCAUGUGUAGCGGUGGAAUGCGUAGAUAUAUGGAAGAACACCAGUGGCGAAGGCGGCUCUCUGGUCUGCAACUGACGCUGAGGCUCGAAAGCAUGGGUAGCGAACAGGAUUAGAUACCCUGGUAGUCCAUGCCGUAAACGAUGAGCGCUAGGUGUUGGGGACUUUCCGGUCCUCAGUGCCGCAGCAAAC
rnacentral:rRNA from 1 species